GAGCGGUACGCGAACUGCAGGGGGUCCAGAGAAGGUGGAAGCAAUUCUCUGUGCAGAUGAAAGAAGCUUCUAAUCUCCUGGGAAAGUCCUGAAGAAUAGUGAAGAUAUGGGAUAGGAGAGGUUCCCUUCUACACCAGAAGACACUCAAUCACCUGUGAGAUGUUAUUCAUUGAAAACACCCCAACAGACAUGAAAACAGCAGCCAUUAACGUUUGGCCCUACUGCUAACAUUUUCAAUGAAAAGGUGCUGUGGUUAGCAGUGGCUGGGAUGCAGUAAGGAAGGUGAGGUUUGGUUGUGGUCCGGGGUGUGUCCAACAGAUACAUGUCCAGGCAGGGUGACAACAUCCAUUAGGGGCUAACAAUGCAUUUUGUUAGAUGACAGCAGAUACAGUACAUGUAAAAAGUUAAAACAAAUAAAAAUGCAAUGUUCAAUUAGCUAAAUAAUCCAGUGAUUUAAUGACUGUCCCAGUUCAGAAUCUUUGUUUCCAUAAUAUUAUACUACUUUCAGAAGAAUGUUGACAACAUAAAACCUUCACCUCAGAAAGAUGUCCAAUCCAGUGUACAUACGAUCAUGUUAUAACAUAAUUAAAUAAAUGUACCUCAUAUCCCAAUGGAACUUUGUUUUCUGCUGAUGUUACACACACACACACACACACACACACACACACACACACACACACACACUCAGCACACACAAAACAUACAUUUAGCUCAUAAAAGCACACAAAAACUCCUGAGUUAACCCCUUUCACUCCACGGACCCACCUGUUGGUCCAAACUCUUACACUGGUAACUACAUAACAUCCAUUAUAGUUGCAGUGUACUGACUGAAUAAGUCACAGUAGUUACUGAAUAAUAUGGUUUACAAUUUAGAACUGAAAAACAAGGGUUAAAGUUUUAAAAAGUAUAAAUAUAAAAUGUUAAAAAAGAAAUGACAUGCAAACAAAAGAAAAAAAAACAGCACACAGUCCAAUAAGUCCCCCUUCGCACAGAUGAACAUGGAUACUUGGAUACUCUGAUCUAAAGGUUCUUCAAAAAAGAUUCUUCAAACAACCCUCAAAAGUGCGACAGGCACUAUUAGAAGUACAAACUCAAGAAAAAUCCACAGGUUUGUAUUCUGCAAUCAUUUUACAUUUUAAUGAUCUUAAAAAGCUGUACUACGAUAUGUGAAUAGCAAAGAUGUCAACAACAAAACAGUCAGCAAUUUUGUUACUAAGAUUUAUUUGUAUGUUUGUGCAUUAAUUCAGCCAUUUGGUGAACUGUGACCACCAUGUUACAGUAACCUUUCUUAGACUAAUGACUAUAGCAAACAGCCCACCGAUGCUUAUCCUGCAGUGGUCUGCGUGUAAGCUCAGCUUCUCCGGGGAAGCGUCCAACAACUUUCUCACUGUAGGAGAAGAAGGAACACGCAAGGGCAGUCAAGUAGCUGUAUGAAUGCUUUAAGAUGACAAGGGGCAAUGCAGUAUCAGCUUUUACAGAUCCAGCAAUAAGGAGUUUGUUUCAGUGCCGUUAAGUCAGCCUAUGACAUCAUGUCAUUUUGAGCAGCGUUGCUAACAGUGUGAUACAGGCAGGUGAUGUAUUAUUUGUUUUUUUAGCAAGUC